GCCCCGGUGGCACAAUUGGUUAGCGCGUGGGCCUUUUAAGAAGAUAAAUCUCCUAAAAUUACAAGCCCAAGGUUGAGGGUUCAAGCCCCUCCCGAGGCG
rnacentral:tRNA from 1 species